rnacentral:rRNA from 1 species
CCUACGGGUGGCAGCAGUGAGGAAUAUUGGUCAAUGGGCGCGAGCCUGAACCAGCCAAGCCGCGUGAAGGAUGAAGGUACUACGGGUUGUAAACUUCUUUUAUAAAGGAAUAAAGUGAGGCACGUGUGCCUUUUUGUAUGUACUUUAAGAAUAAGGAUCGGCUAACUCCGUGCCAGCAGCCGCGGUAAUACGGAGGAUCCGAGCGUUCUCCGGAUUUAUUGGGUUUAAAGGGAGCGUAGAUGGGUUGUUAAGUCAGUUGUGAAAGUCUGCGGCACAACCGUAACAGUGCAAUUGAUACUGGCAGCCUUGAGUACAGUUGAGGUAGGCGGAAUGCGUGGUGUAGCGGUGAAAUGCUUAGAUAUCACGCAGAACUCCGAUUGCGAAGGCAGCCUACUAAACUGCCACUGACAUUGAUGCACGAAAGUGUGGGUAUCAAACAGGAUUAGAUACCCGAGUAGUC